CUACACCAGUCGUUCAGCCCCACAUAUCUUACUGUUAUAAUCUUGCUGACGUUGUGGCUCGAGUAGUAAUCUAGAGAUUUUUUAUUCUGUUUUUUAAUUUAUCCCUUCAGCAGACCUUCUUCCCUCCUUCUGUCUAUAUCGACCACUGGAUCGUUCCUCUGCAGCCCAGAUGACUAUUGUGAAGCCAGGCACCAGGCAGGCAAAUCUGCCUUCGGGACUCUCGAUUCUGGCAACAGGGAAGAGUCUCUAUUCCCCUGACUACACUGUUUCCAAUUACACUUGCAUUUCACUUUUCUCCUUCCUCUAGAAUCGCUCCCUCUCCCACAGUGCUGUGGUCAGUUUGCUCAUUCUCCCUACAGACCCCACUCUCAUCCACAAAGGGAGCAAGAAUCUCAAACCUGUUCGACAAGCUGAUGGGCUGAGGCUCAUUUAGCACUACCCUCUGCUUCCUUCUGCCUGCCUCAGUAUAGUCACACCCUUCUGUCCCUGACCACUGAUCGAUUUGAGGUAGUUAAUCUAAUGCCUCCUGAAACAGAGCAUCCAGGUAACUCCGAUCCCUCCCUGGUGUGUGGAAGUGUUCGGAGCUCAGACUUCAGCUCAACAAUCUGAGCUGGAAUCCCUCAACCAACAUUUGUUAUGGUUGUAGUAGCUAUGAACCACUAUUGGGUCCAACAGCUCUGACAUCAUGCAGUUACAACACCUCGCCUAGUCUGGCCCCUCCAUUUCAAUGACUUGGUGCUUAACUUGAUUUUUAAACAUUUCAUGCUGAAAGAACAUCCACUGUUGUCGGGGAGAUUAAUUGACCAUGCUCAAGAAGCCAAAAUUAAGUAAGUGCAGAUAUCUUGAAAGAUUGCGUGGCUGGCAGAGAUUAGAGAUGGAAAUGAUCACUAUCAUAGAAGGAUUUGAAAAAAAGGAUGAGAAAUUUGUUAAAAUGUUGCUUUUCCUCAACUUGCGACCUCUUCAUGUCAGUGAGCUCAGGGUGAGGGGAACAAAACCCAGUGUGAGCGAGUACAUGGGCAGCGGGGUGUUGGAUGAACUCAAGAUUACAGGGAGGUUGAAAGUGGGAGGUGGAUCAGAAGUGUGUUAGGGUCAUUCAGUCUCGAGGUUGCAAAGGACUGGAUGAGAUUAUCAGCACCUGGAGCUGAAACUGUGUUGGAGUCAGGCCAUGUUACUGAAAUGGAAAUAGAAUGUCACGGUGAGGAUGUGGGUCUGUGGUUCAAAGCUAAUCUCCAAGUGCAAUAGUCCCUUAAUGUUGGGAAGAGCCUGGUCCAGAUAGUUACCUGAGGGGGUGAUAUAGUUUGGGAGUUUGGAAGUUUUGUACAGGGACUGAAGCCAGCAGCUUUUAGUGAACAAAGGAUCAGAAGUAGGCCCUUCAGGUGUUCCACUAUUGAAUUAACUCAUGGCUGCUGCAUGGAGUUCAGCCUUUGGCCCAUAUCCCUGAAUACCUUUGUUGAACAAAAGUUUAUCCGUCUCAGACUGAAAACUAACAACCUUUUCCACCCUUUUCAUAUUGAAGUCAUUCCUCACAUCUCUCUCGAACAGACUCUGCUCCCAAGUUCUUGAUUAAGUUGGAGGCAAUUUCUAUUCAUCCAGCACUGGAUGUUGGGACGUUGUGCGAGUUGGAGGGAUCUCCAAGAGAGUGCUGGUCACAUACACAUGCUCCCCGGUCCUUCAUGGUGGUGGAAGUGGCUGGUUUGGGCGGUUGUGUUCAAGGGUAUUGGAAGAAGAUGAUUUGCAAUGAGGAGACUUAAAACCAGGCAUCACUUCCCAAUCUGACUAAGCUGCCGAAUUUAUUGUCAUCUGAAUAUCAUUGGGUUUUGCAUUAAAAAAGCACCAUUCACAGUGGGGGAGAAACCGUACGUGUGUUGUACAUGUGGACAAGUCUUCAGCAGAUCAUCUGCCCUGUCUGGGAAAGGAUUCACUCGAUCAUCCACCUUGCUGAAACCCCAGCAAGUUCACAAAGAAAACAGACCUUUGAAAUGCUCCGAAUGUAGGAGGUGCUUUAAAAACUCUGGGGCACUGAUAUCCCAACAAAAUCCUCACUGUGACGAGAGACCCUUCAUGAACUCUCACUGUGGGUGUGGGUUCAAGCCGUCGUCCAACCUCAUUAAACACCAGCAGAUCCACACUGGGGAGAGAUCAUUCACCUGCUCACACAACAGGAAAGGAUUGUCUCAUAAAUCCAACCUGUGAAAACACCGGCGAUUUCUCUGAAGUUAGAGGCUGUACUGACUGUGGGAAGAGAUUCAUUGUGAAAUCCAAGCUGCUGAAACACCAGCGUAUUCAUGAGAAAUGACAGUGCCUGGUUUUUACUGUGAACAUCUCCCUGCUUCAUAGUCUCAGCCAGAACAUUUUGUUUCAAGUCCCACCUGAUAUGGAGCUAUGUCAAAGAACUUAAUUAUUUUUGUAAUUGAUAACUGAAUGAUGUCCACUGUGGCAGGUUUCUACUGAAGUUAAUGAACACCAGCUCAGUUAAAGGGAUGACUAUUCCGGAUGACAAUGAAACAAAUGCACUUUGUGUUAAACACA